rnacentral:rRNA from 1 species
CAACGCCGCGUGGAGGAUUAAGUCCCUUGGGAUGUAAACUCCUUUCGACAGGGAAGAAACUGACGGUACCUGUAGAAGAAGCCCCGGCUAACUUCGUAC